GACGAACGCUGGCGUCGUGCUUAACACAUGCAAGUCGAACGAAGAGCGACGGAAGCUUGCUUCUAUCAAUCUUAGUGGCGAACGGGUGAGUAACGCGUAAUCAACCUGCCCUUCAGAGGGGGACAACAGUUGGAAACGACUGCUAAUACCGCAUACGAUCUAACCUCGGCAUCGAGGAUAGAUGAAAGGUGGCCUCUACAUGUAAGCUAUCACUGAAGGAGGGGAUUGCGUCUGAUUAGCUAGUUGGAGGGGUAACGGCCCACCAAGGCGAUGAUCAGUAGCCGGUCUGAGAAGAUGAACGGCCACAUUGGGACUGAGACACGGCCCAAACUCCUACGGGAGGCAGCAGUGGGGAAUCUUCCGCAAUGGACGGAAGUCUGACGGAGCAACGCCGCGUGAGUGAUGACGGCCUUCGGGUUGUAAAGCUCUGUUAAUCGGGACGAAAGGCCUUCUUGCGAAUAGUGAGAAGGAUUGACGGUACCGGAAUAGAAAGCCACGGCUAACUACGUG
rnacentral:rRNA from 1 species